AUUGAACGCUGGCGGCAUGCCUUACACAUGCAAGUCGAACGGCAGCACGGGUGCUUGCACCUGGUGGCGAGUGGCGAACGGGUGAGUAAUACAUCGGAACAUGUCCUGUAGUGGGGGAUAGCCCGGCGAAAGCCGGAUUAAUACCGCAUACGAUCUACAGAUGAAAGCGGGGGACCUUCGGGCCUCGCGCUAUAGGGUUGGCCGAUGGCUGAUUAGCUAGUUGGUGGGGUAAAGGCCUACCAAGGCGACGAUCAGUAGCUGGUCUGAGAGGACGACCAGCCACACUGGGACUGAGACACGGCCCAGACUCCUACGGGAGGCAGCAGUGGGGAAUUUUGGACAAAGGGCGAAAGCCUGAUCCAGCAAUGCCGCGUGUGUGAAGAAGGCCUUCGGGUUGUAAAGCACUUUUGUCCGGAAAGAAAUCCUUGGCCCUAAUACGGUCGGGGGAUGACGGUACCGGAAGAAUAAGCACCGGCUAACUACGUG
rnacentral:rRNA from 1 species